ACCCUUCUCUUCGACCUGACCGAGGCUGUCACCGACCGAGCCUCCCUCCAUCCGACGAUCGAGUCGAGUCUCUCUCUCCGACGAUCGAGUCUCUUGCCUGACUCGCUUCUCGCCGCUCAGUCCCGCCGGACUCUCUUCUGUCGACGCUCUGUCUUUUGUCGACAGAUCUGUCUUCUCUCGACUCUAUCUCUCCGACCAGCCCAGUUCUGUCUCCGACCCGACCCAGCGACUCCAACCUACAGACUCAUGUUUCUUCUACCCUUAAAGCUUCUGUUAGAUUUUCAGCUUUAGCAAAUGCGAUUACGCUCAAGAAUCUCAUAAGGAAGGGAAUUCUGGCGGUUUUACGGCCUAAGGUCUGGUUUUCGCUCUCCGGGGCAGCUAAGAAGAAAUCUACCAAUGAUUUAAUUAAGGCUGUCGAGAGCUAUUACAAUGAUUUAAUUAAGGCUGCUUUAGCAAAUCCAUCUUUUUUCUUUCAGCAUUACAUUGAUUAUUGUGGCACAUUUAUCAUCAUGUGAAAAUUGGAUGGUUGAUCAUUGUAAAUUUGUAAUGUUUGAUGUUUGUGGGACUCCACUUCAUUACAAAAGAUGGAUUGUUUUGCAAUUGGAUAACGGAUUCUUAUCUUAAUAAUGCUAUUUGUUUGAUCCUGAACAUGAAAUCACCAGGUUCAAUUGAGCUUAUUUAGUUUGCAUUACAUUACUUAACGACAUAAUUUUUUAUCAUACAUGAUGCAUGCUUGAGGACAAUGUUUACUGAGGGAAUAAUUUUCUGUCAUUGUCAAUAUCCAGAAUGGAAUAGAAAUACUGGAAAUGGUUUUGGAAACCUCUUUCUGCAUUGAGUCAAGUGGCUGAUUUUAUUAUA